rnacentral:rRNA from 1 species
AUUGAACGCUGGCGGCAUGCCUUACACAUGCAAGUCGAACGGUAACAGCACUUCGGUGGCUGACGAGUGGCGAACGGGUGAGUAAUACAUCGGAACGUGCCCGAGAGUGGGGGAUAACGCAGCGAAAGCUGUGCUAAUACCGCAUACGAUCUACGGAUGAAAGCAGGGGAUUCGCAAGGACCUUGCGCUCAUGGAGCGGCCGAUGGCAGAUUAGGUAGUUGGUGGGAUAAAAGCUUACCAAGCCGACGAUCUGUAGCUGGUCUGAGAGGACGACCAGCCACACUGGGACUGAGACACGGCCCAGACUCCUACGGGAGGCAGCAGU